rnacentral:rRNA from 1 species
UACAGAGGUCUCAAGCGUUGUUCGGAUUCAUUGGGCGUAAAGGGUGCGUAGGCGGGUCUUUAAGUCAGGGGUGAAAUCCUGGAGCUCAACUCCAGAACUGCCUUUGAUACUGAGGAUCUUGAGUUCGGGAGAGGUGAGUGGAACUGCGAGUGUAGAGGUGAAAUUCGUAGAUAUUCGCAAGAACACCAGUGGCGAAGGCGGCUCACUGGCCCGGUACUGACGCUGAUGUGCGAAAGCGUGGGGAGCAAACAGG